rnacentral:rRNA from 1 species
UACGGAGGGUGCAAGCGUUAUCCGGAUUCACUGGGUUUAAAGGGUGCAUAGGCGGGUUGGUAAGUCCGUGGUGAAAUCUCCGAGCUUAACUCGGAAACUGCCGUGGAUACUAUCAAUCUUGAAUAUCGUGGAGGUAAGCGGAAUAUGUCAUGUAGCGGUGAAAUGCUUAGAUAUGACAUAGAACACCAAUUGCGUAGGCAGCUUACUACACGAUCAUUGACGCUGAGGCACGAAAGCGUGGGGAGCAAACAGG